rnacentral:rRNA from 1 species
GACGAACGCUGGCGGCGUGCUUAACACAUGCAAGUCGAACGGUGAAGCGCCUUCCUUUUUGGUGGGUGUGGAUGAGUGGCGAACGGGUGAGUAACACGUGAGUAACCUGCCCCCUUCUUCUGGAUAACCGCAUGAAAGUGUGGCUAAUACGGGAUAUUCUGGGUCUGUCGCAUGAUGGGUCUGGGAAAGAUAUUGUUUCGGUGGGGGAUGGGCUCGCGGCCUAUCAGCUUGUUGGUGGGGUGAUGGCCUACCAAGGCGGUGACGGGUAGCCGGCCUGAGAGGGUGGACGGUCACACCGGGACUGAGACACGGCCCAGACUCCUACGGGAGGCAGCAGUGGGGAAUAUUGCACAAUGGGCGCAAGCCUGAUGCAGCGACGCCGCGUGAGGGAUGGAGGCCUUCGGGUUGUGAACCUCUUUCGCCAGUGAAGCAGGCCUGCCUCGUUUGUGGGUGGGUUGACGGUAGCUGGAGAGGAAGCGCCGGCUAACUACGUG